GUACUUAUCCAACUGUUCUUUGCCAUAAAGCUAUAUGGUGCCCACAUGAACUUUUUCUGUCUUCCAGGUUACCAUCUAGACAAGAAGCAGAAGGGAUCGGAAAGAACUCAAAAGAUGCAUAUUUAACAGACCAAUUGCCUUUUUAUUUUGAGUCUUUGUAGUUGAAUUCCGAGAAACUUUAUUAUUUUUUUUUCUGAGAAAGAAAAGUUCUGAAAAAUCUUGCAAUGUUUGAUGAACACAAAUGGAUUGAAUUAAGAAGACAGUGCUUACCUUUAAAUUAGUGAAGGAAUAUAGGUAAUACAUUAAUGAAGGAGUAUACCAGUCUUCUUCAAGACUUCUUGGGCAUAUUGUAAUCCAUAAAUUAAUAUUCAUUGAUUAAACAUUAUAGGGUAUGCCUGUGACAAAUUUAGGGCAUUAUUUAUUAAUUUAGUUGAACAAUUAUUAUGUGUCUACUAUGUGCACUGUUGCCUUAACUGAACAAGUAAUAAUCCUAAAUUCAAGGGGUUUAAGAUAGAAUCACAGUCUCUCCAGUAAUAUUAGAGAGUGUCUAAUGCAAAAUAUUCACAGAAAACAAUUUUAAAAGGAAAUAGGAGAACAACAAUUUUAAGUGACUUUCUCCAAGUUUAAGGAAUAGUUUCAAAGAAUAUCUGGACAUCCUGAUUAUAUUUUGGAACAGAAGUUAAUUGUUUUUAUGUGAACAGAUAUUUUACUAUUAUUUUGAAAAUGUUGCUAAAAGGAGUAUUAAAUAAGCAAAGAAAAGACCAUUAGCUUGAAUAUAUUGCUGUAUUUUUGAGUUCAUAGAUAACAAGCCAUAAUCUUAUUUACUACAUCAACCAACAUACACCUAAUUAGGAGUGUUUUUUUUUUUUUUUGAAUAGCCAUGUUUCAGCCAAUCAUUGAUAAGUUCCAGUUAGUCAUAGGCUACCAACCAGCUAGAACAUGUCCAAUUAAUGGGAAUAUCAAGCUGUUUUCCAAUCAGAUAACUUUUCCAUUUUGCUUCCAUGUUCAGUCUGUAUACGCUUGCUGCUUACACCACUGAUGGAACUCUGAACCUCCUUGAAUUCUGAGAAGUGUCCAGUUCAUAAAUCACUCUUUACU
rnacentral:lncRNA from 1 species